rnacentral:rRNA from 1 species
GGUGAUCCUGCCAGUAGUCAUAUGCUCAGG